rnacentral:lncRNA from 1 species
GCUUCUCAAGCCUUCAUAUUCGGCUAGUAAAAAGAGAAUGAAAAAGAUGACACCUUGAUUCUUUUAUUAUAUUCAUUUUAUUAUUAUUUUUAACCAAUUUACAAUAUUAACCUUUAUACACUUUAUUUAUUACACCAAAUGCCAAGCCAUUAUAUCUCACUAUCUCUUUAAUGGGCUAAUUACCAAAUAAGGACUUCUACUUUUAAGUUCUAUAUCUAUUUAAUACCUUUAGAUUAUAGAACACAACUU